rnacentral:rRNA from 1 species
UCCUACGGGAGGCAGCAGUGGGGAAUAUUGCGCAAUGGGGGGAACCCUGACGCAGCCAUGCCGCGUGAAUGAAGAAGGCCUUCGGGUUGUAAAGUUCUUUCGGUAAUGAGGAAGGGAUGUUAUUAAAUAGAUAGCAUCAUUGACGUUAAUUACAGAAGAAGCACCGGCUAACUCCGUGCCAGCAGCCGCGGUAAUACGGAGGGUGCGAGCGUUAAUCGGAAUAACUGGGCGUAAAGGGCACGCAGGCGGACCUUUAAGUGAGAUGUGAAAUCCCCGAGCUUAACUUGGGAACUGCAUUUCAGACUGGGAGUCUAGAGUACUUUAGGGAGGGGUAGAAUUCCACGUGUAGCGGUGAAAUGCGUAGAGAUGUGGAGGAAUACCGAAGGCGAAGGCAGCCCCUUGGGAAUGUACUGACGCUCAUGUGCGAAAGCGUGGGGAGCAAACAGGAUUAGAUACCCUGGUAGUCC